GCUUAGAUAGCUUGGUUGGUAGCGCGUCUGCCUUGUAAGCGCUAGGCCGCGGGUUCGAUUCCCGCCCGGGGCG
rnacentral:tRNA from 1 species